CCUUGUACACACCGCCCGUCACACCAUGGGAGUUGGUUCGACCUUAAGCCGGUGCGCCAACCGCAAGGAGGCAGCCGACCACGGUCGGGUCAGCGACUGGGGUG
rnacentral:rRNA from 1 species